rnacentral:rRNA from 1 species
ACGAACGCUGGCGGCAUGCCUAACACAUGCAAGUCGAACGAGACCUUCGGGUCUAGUGGCGCCCGGGUGCGUAACGCGUGGGAACCUGCCUUUAGGUUCGGAAUAACUCAGAGAAAUUUGAGCUAAUACCGGAUGAUGUCUUCGGACCAAAGAUUUAUCGCCUUUAGAUGGGCCCGCGUUGGAUUAGCUAGUUGGUGGGGUAAAGGCCUACCAAGGCGACGAUCCAUAGCUGGUCUGAGAGGAUGAUCAGCCACACUGGGACUGAGACACGGCCCAGACUCCUACGGGAGGCAGCAGUGGGGAAUAUUGGACAAUGGGCGAAAGCCUGAUCCAGCAAUGCCGCGUGAGUGAUGAAGGCCUUAGGGUUGUAAAGCUCUUUUACCCGAGAUGAUAAUGACAGUAUCGGGAGAAUAAGCUCCGGCUAACUCCGUG